GGUAUCGUCGGUACGCAGAAGAUCGCACGCGGUCGGUGGACCGAAAGUGAGACACAGACGUGUUUUGGGUGUGUCGUGAGCGGUUCUCACACGCGCACACACACCGUUGUGUGGCCGUAGCGCGCGCUCGUGUGUGCAUGUGAAAUGGUGCCUGUGUGUGUGUGCGUGCGCGACUACUACUACCGAACCGCCAGACGCAGACGUCGGCGAAAAAAUAUUACCGAACGUUGACCUCUCGUCAUCUUGUCCGGCGGUGGCGACGGCCGAAGGCACAUGCAUAACAACUUACUAUAAUAAUAUUAUUAUUAUUAUGAUGUGUUAUAAUGACGAUAAUAAUAAUAUACGAAUAUACCAAAUGCACACACACACACACUCAUCUACAAUAUUAAUAAAUAAUAAUACUAUAACGAACAUAAUGUUAUUAUUUUACUGCGACCGCGGGCACGCUGUAUACACUCAACUUUGAUACGGUAACGUGUGUCGAGUACAACAACUAUCGCUAUUAUUAUUAUAUUUUGUUACAGUAAUGCAAGCGCGUGCACGGUGUAUAUAUUUUUACUAUGCACAUAUUAUUAUAUUAUGCCAAACUGUGUAAUGUUUAUCUUUAUAUUUCUCCAACCGUUGCCGACGGUUUGUUAUAUUUUUUCUCUUAUUUUUAGAAUCGCCGAAAGCGAUAUUGUUCUUCCGACCGAAAUGUACUGUUACCCGCGGCGCGCGGCCGUGUCACGGAGGUACACCAACCACGCGUCCACGCGAGAUUAUUAUUAUUUUUAUAAAAUAUUACGCGCGCGAAGCGAUUUUAACUAGCUCACCAUCCGCAGCCGCCAAUCGCCGCGGCCGCAGUUACACAACAAACAGCAAUAUGUAACGAUUAUGCGACGACGAUGUCCAUGGUAAUAUUAUUAUUGUGCUGAAUGUCAUCUCUAUAGAAGCGCGUAAUUUUUAAUUAACUGGAAUGUAAGAAAUAUGUAAAAUAUAAAAACGCCCGCGAGCAAGUUAUUGUAUCUGUAGCUAUAUUAUAUUUUCCGAUAACGAUAGUAAUAACUAAUAACUAAUAACAUGUGCGCCGGUUCAACUCGUUUCGAAUGCAUUACAAUAACAUUACCGCCGUUACCGUCGGACGGUCUCCGGACGGACGACGCGACGAUUAUUAAUUUUUUAUUUUACUUUUCGCGCGCGCGCGCAUACAUGCAUAAUGCAUAAUGCAUAAUAUCCUACUCGUAUAUGAGUGCAGCCUUACACAGCCUUAUACUGUGUAAUAUACGUACACACGCGCGCACGACCGACACAUAAAGGUGUAUUACACGUGCAUCUACCUGCGGCUCGGCCUGACAAACCAGUAAUAAUAAUAAUAAUAAUAAUACACAUCCUCCUCCUCGUCGUCAUCGGGCCGAGGACACGACGCGCCAAGUGCACCGCGCGCAGUGACAAUUGCGAAAUACCUAUACGGCCGCAGUCGAAUACUUGAAUUAGUACGCAAUUAGCGGCGGCGUUCCGGGAAGAACGCGCGGAAACUGGUCACACUGGUCUCGGGCGCGCGCACGCGAAGAUAGAUCGUCGGAAUGGAAUGCGAACGAAAAUACAAGACUGCGGCUGAGGGACUCUCCGCAGUCCACAUCGUCGGUCGAGGUGGAUUGUGCCAAGAAGGUUGCCAACGCGGUCGUUUCGCCGCCCGCCGUAUCGCCGUGCCGCGUGCGCUCCGCCAACUGCUGUGGCCGCGGUAUUGCGGGACGACGACUGCAUCCAUCAGCGGCACCGAUUGCGGCGAGCUGCACCGCGAAAAACGUCGGCAGCGGCCGCCGACGACGGGCGCAUCGCCGCUGUCGCCACCGCGGAGAGAGUGGCCGAGACGUGGAGCACUGCGGCCAAAUGUCUUAACGCUCCGCCGCCGGCAAAACGAUAUAAUGUUGUUCGCCGUGGGCUCAACUUACAAACGCCCAUAAUUUCAACUGACGUGUGACGACCGAGCCGGACGGACGGACCGCGGGUGUGUAUAUCAUGGAGGAUUAACGGACGUGAACACAGACACACGUGGGGUAAGUAUACAGGCCACGGUCAGUGUAUCGGGUGCGACGGGCGACGGCGUGUCGGAAUGGUAAUAAUAAUGCAAUGAUGACCUUUCCGGAAAUCGCGGUAUGGCUUCAGUGUACGAGGAAAAAUAAAACCGCCAUCGUUCAAGUUCAACUGGGCGUGUGAGCGUUCCGUCGACGCUAGACGACGCGCCGCACAGACGAUGCACUUGCAGCUAGUGUUUAUUCUAUUAUAUAUACCUAGGUUGCAAAUUACUAACCACUAUACCUAUGCAUGAUAUUAUUAUUAUUACACUGCACACGCCAAUACGCCAUCAUUAUAAUAAUGUAUACCUAUAUACCAUUCUGUUUGCGCGUGCAAAAUCCUUGAAAACAUUUUGUACAUAAAGGUGUACACCCACGACCUACCUAUAUAUAAUAUAAUAUUAUAAUGUACGUAAAAUACCGCAACAUUAUAUAAUAAUAUAUCAAUCGCACCGUUGUCUAUAAUAAUAAUAUUAUAUAUUAUUAUUUUUUCUAUCACUCGUUAUUAUAUUGCAUUUUAUGUCUGUUGGGACGACUCUCCGGACUCCUAACCGUCUAUAAUAUCAUCAUUAUUGCGAAAGAUAAUAAUAUAUGACUGCAAACAACACGUAAUAAUAAUAAACGGCCAACAGUUUAGGUUAUACCCACAAUGUUAAUUUGUUAUGCGUAGGUAAUAUACAAAUUUUAUGAUAAAUUUAUUAUGCUAUAUGUCUAUAGACCGUAGGUUGAGCCAAAACUUAUAUCGGUAGCUGACGUAAAACUACAGCAUUUAUCAAUAUGUUUAUAAUAUUAUUAAAUUAACACGAUUUAUCAGUCAUAUAAGUUAUAACUCAUAUAACGCGUGCCACAAACCGUGACUUUGCGUCUGCAUAGCUGCUAUUGCAAUGAGUGCAAUUAAUUACAAAAAAACUCUAAGUGAUAAGCCGGCCAUAAUCAAACCGUGAUCGAUGUUUUUUCUACUUACAUAUGCAGUGUUUAUUAUAAAUUAUUCAUUUUAUUUUUCUUCUUCUUAUUUUUAUUAUUAUUAUUACCGUGUGUAAAAUAAUAUUAUACUUAUACCUACUAUAUUAAUAUUCAGGGCUCAGACAGUAGGAUAUAAUUGUAAUUGAUAUAUCGCAUAGAAUAUUACUCCGAAUGGCGAAUACUAUUCAAUAUGAUACAGGCUAAAAUAGCAGAAUACCUAUAUGCUUUACACGUGUCUUGUGCUUUGUGCAUUAAUAAG